AUACGGAGGAUCCAAGCGUUAUCCGGAUUUAUUGGGUUUAAAGGGUGCGCAGGCGGCCUUAUAAGUCAGUGGUGAAAUCUCCCGGCUCAACCGGGAAACUGCCAUUGAUACUGUAAGGCUAGAAUACAGACGAGGUAGGCGGAAUGUAGCAUGUAGCGGUGAAAUGCUUAGAUAUGCUACAGAACACCGAUCGCGAAGGCAGCUUACCAGACUGUAAUUGACGCUAAGGCACGAAAGCGUGGGGAGCGAACAGGAUUAGAAACCCUAGUAGUCC
rnacentral:rRNA from 1 species